GAUGAACGCUGGCGGCGUGCCUAAUACAUGCAAGUCGAGCGAACGGACGAGAAGCUUGCUUCUCUGAUGUUAGCGGCGGACGGGUGAGUAACACGUGGAUAACCUACCUAUAAGACUGGGAUAACUUCGGGAAACCGUAGCUAAUACCGGAUAAUAUUUUGAACCGCAUGGUUCAAAAGUGAAAGACGGUCUUGCUGUCACUUAUAGAUGGAUCCGCGCUGCAUUAGCUAGUUGGUAAGGUAACGGCUUACCAAGGCAACGAUGCAUAUCCGACCGGAGAGGGUGAUCGGCCACACUGGAACUGAGACACGGUCCAGACUCCUACGGGAGGCAGCAGUAGGGAAUCUUCCGCAAUGGGCGAAAGCCUGACGGAGCAACGCCGCGUGAGUGAUGAAGGUCUUCGGAUCGUAAAACUCUGUUAUUAGGGAAGAACAUAUGUGUAAGUAACUGUGCACAUCUUGACGGUACCUAAUCAGAAAGCCACGGCUAACUACGUG
rnacentral:rRNA from 1 species